AUCGUUCAACUCAAAUGAGUCGGAAGUAGGCACAUGCCGAAGGAACGCACC
rnacentral:ncRNA from 10 species